rnacentral:rRNA from 1 species
GAUGAACGCUGGCGGCGUGCCUAAUACAUGCAAGUCGAGCGAACAGACGAGGAGCUUGCUCCUCUGACGUUAGCGGCGGACGGGUGAGUAACACGUGGAUAACCUACCUAUAAGACUGGGAUAACUUCGGGGAACCGGAGCUAAUACCGGAUAAUAUAUUGAACAGCAUGGUUCACUAGUUAAAGACGGUUUUGCUUUCACUUAUAGAUUGAUCCGCGCCGAAUUAGCUAGUUGGUAAGGUAACGGCUUACCCAGGCGACGAUGCGUAGCCGACCUGAGAGGGUGAUCGGCCACACGGGAACUGAGACACGGCCCAGACUCCUACGGGAGGAAGCAGUAGGGAAUCUUACGCAAUGGGCGAAAGCCUGACGGAGCAACGCCGCGUGAGUGAUGAAGGUCUUCGGAUCGUAAAACUCUGUUAUUAGGGAAGAACAAAUGUGUAAGUAACUAUGCACAUCUUGACGGUACCUAAUCAGAAAGCCACGGCUAACUACGUG